rnacentral:rRNA from 1 species
UACAGAGGGUGCGAGCGUUAAUCGGAAUUACUGGGCGUAAAGCGCGCGUAGGCGGCUUUGCAAGUCGGGUGUGAAAUCCCCAGGCUUAACCUGGGAACUGCAUUCGAGACUGCAUUGCUAGAGUAUGGGAGAGGGAAGUGGAAUUUCCGGUGUAGCGGUGAAAUGCGUAGAUAUCGUAAGGAAGACCAGUGGCGAAGGCG